rnacentral:tRNA from 1 species
GCCUCUGUAGCUCAGUGGUGGAGCGUACGCUUGGUAAGCGUAAGGUCGCGAGUUCAAUUCUCGCCAGAGGCU